CCUACGGGAGGCAGCAGUGAGGAAUAUUGGACAAUGGGCGCGAGCCUGAACCAGCGAAGUCGCGUGAGGGAUGAAGGUUCUAUGGAUCGUAAACCUCUUUUAUAAGGGAAUAAAGUGUGGGACGUGUCCUAUUUUGUAUGUACCUUAUGAAGAAGGAUCGGCUAACUCCGUGCCAGCAGCCGCGGUAAUACGGAGGAUCCGAGCGUUAACCGGAUUUAGUGGGUUUAAAGGGUGCGUAGGCGGCCGUUUAAGUCAGCGGUGAAAGUCUGUGGCGCAACCAUAGAAUUGCCGUUGAAACUGGGGGGCUUGAGUAUGUUUGAGGCAGGCGGAAUGCGUGGUGUAGCGGUGAAAUGCUUAGAUAUCACGCAGAACCCCGAUUGCGAAGGCAGCCUGCCAAGCCAUGACUGACGCUGAUGCACGAAAGCGUGGGGAUCAAACAGGAUUAGAUACCCUGGUAGUC
rnacentral:rRNA from 1 species